rnacentral:lncRNA from 10 species
AAACAAUGCAUUUUAUCAUAGGGCCGGACAGCUAUAUGCACAAGAUGCUACCUGCAGAGAUUGGUUUUUGCCCAGAUGUGCAGGAGAGAUGCACAGAGAGGAAGAAAUGCAUACAUGUGUGCAGGUUUUGGCGUGUGCACAAGAAGCCUGGAAGGAUUUUCUUUGGAUCUACAGUCAAAAUGGAUUUCCGAGAGGAAGCUGUCUGAAAACACACCUCUUCCCUGUGCUACAUACGGUCCCAUCUCUGCCAGCCAGGUUGUCAGGAAAGUGAUCAGCACUGGCUUCAACUCUGGCUAGAGCUCUUUGGCCAAUGUGAUGGGCAGAAAACUGGAAUGAGGACAGAAAAGCACCUCAGAGGUUUGAAGAGUCUAGUCUCUCACCACCUUGCUGUAGGUUUUCUGAAUACUUCUGAGUUUAGGAGCAUUUUUUCUCAACAGGCAAGUCAGGAGCUGCUAAGAUAAACCAUGGCAGUAAGCUCGAGCCAGUGUUCGUAUUUGCCAUUGAUCGGCCACCAAGUGCUUGCUAUGUGCCAUGCAUUGUGCUAAGCACUAUCUCAUUUAAUAUUUACAGCAAUCUUAUGAGGUAGAUGCUACUGUUAUCUCCAUUUUACAGAUGGGGAAACUGAGGCACAGAGUUCCACAGCUGGUAACUUGAGGAAUAGGAAUUCAACCACUGGAGAGUCUGGCUGGAGUUUUUUGUGGCUGAGACUUAUUUGAAUGCCUGUUUCAUAUGGAGCUUUUAAGUGUAACAGUUGUGAGUGAAAUUGCCCCUUUUCAAGCGCUCCGAGUUUGCUUCUGCAUGGAAGGGGAAGAUGGACUAGAGCUGAUACCUCCUGCACCCUGGUGAAGAAAUGCACCCUGAGGCCAGAAAAUAGUACAAACCCAUCUGGCUGCAACAGUCCAGCAGCAUGAAGAUCAAAGUCACGUAGUAGAGCCAGAGAGAAAUUUGCCCUGGGCCUAAUAUUCAUGAAGCCUUUCCAAUUCAGACUCGGUAUUAUUGCCAAGUCGGUGUGUUUG